rnacentral:rRNA from 1 species
UACAGAGACUGCGAGCGUUAUUCGGAUUCACUGGGCGUAAAGGGUGCGCAGGCGGCCAAGUGUGUGAGGCGUGAAAGCCCGGGGCUCAACCCCGGAAUUGCACCUCAAACUACAUGGCUAGAGUACUGGAGAGGGUAACGGAAUUCAUGGUGUAGCAGUGAAAUGCGUAGAUAUCGGAAGGAACACCAGUGGCGAAGGCGGCCUUCUGGACCAAUACUGACGCUCAUGCACGAAAGCGUGGGGAGCAAACAGG